rnacentral:rRNA from 1 species
UACAGAGGUCUCGAGCGUUAGGCGGAAUCACUGGGCUUAAAGCGUGUGUAGGCGGAUCGUUAAGUACCUUGUGAAAUCCCACGGCUUAACCGUGGAACUGCUUGGUAUACUGGCGGUCUUGAGCCAGCUAGGGGCUACCGGAACAAAUGGUGGAGCGGUGAAAUGCGUAGAUAUCAUUUGGAACGCCAAUGGUGAAAACAGGUAGCUGGGGCUGUGCUGACGCUGAGACACGAAAGCCAGGGGAGCGAACGGG